UACGUAGGGCGCAAGCGUUGUCCGGAAUUAUUGGGCGUAAAGAGCUCGUAGGCGGUGUGUCGCGUCGGCCGUGAAAACCUGCAGCUUAACUGUGGGCUUGCGGUCGAUACGGGCAUCACUGGAGUUCGGCAGGGGAGACUGGAAUUCCUGGUGUAGCGGUGGAAUGCGCAGAUAUCAGGAGGAACACCGAUGGCGAAGGCAGAUCUCUGGGCCGUGAACUGACGCUGAAGAGCGAAAGCGUGGGAGCGAACAGG
rnacentral:rRNA from 1 species